CCCUCACACAAACCUCUUCCUUCACCACGUGGGACUUCGUUCACUGAUACAGGAUUCUUCCUUCACCACACUUCACUGAUAUGCUGAGACUGAUACAUUCUCUCACAACCCGGGCUUUCCUUGAGAAACCGGACUGCAACCAUCACUUUGACAAGACCGGGAUUCUAACUACCGGGAAGACCCCAAGAAGAGGAUCAACGGGAUGCCAUUGGAAUGCACAGAGUGGUUUUUGUCCUUCUGGAGAAAGCCAAUCCUGAAAAAUCAAGAGAAGGUCAAGCAGAAGCCACUGACUGUCCCCUUGUCCUAUAAAUCCAUCAGUUGUCAACCACAGAGGGUAGCUUCUGCUGAUAUUUCUUUCAUGUAUGUUUCUAUUCUAAUAUUAAUAAUAUUAGAAUAAAUACUCGAGGAUGCAAAGUAGGAAAUGUCUUCUUUCUCUUCUAUCAGUCAUCUGCUCUUCUGAUUCCUUUGCUCUCCAUCCUCCAUCUCUUUCUGUAAGGUUAGUUUUUGGUUACUGUCCCAGGCGUAAACAGUCAAUCUAUUCCAGUUAUUCAGCCACACUGCUAUAAUUUAUUUUUCAUCUCCCAGGGAACAUAAUAAAGUUUAAAUUAACUCAGCUUGUGUCUUCAGGAAUUAGGCAAGUAAAUAUUUCUGUACAUGCUAAUUAAUUUGAGACUGUAAAGGAUAUUAGUAGGCGUUAGUUUUAUGCCAUGUCCCCCAGCUUUCUCUCCCUUACAAAUUUAAGGACCUCCUCAAUGGUAUUUCCUUGUAUUCCAUCAUUUUGUUAGGUACACACUUGAUGAAAAAAAAAUCACUUUUCUGAUUAGACUCAUUGAAUAAUUUGUUAUGAUCAGUCAUGUUUCUUUAGUUUCUUUAGCCUAAUUUUCAUGUUUUCUGAUAGCAGUCUGGUUUGCUGGUAACAUUUAACUAGAACACGUAGUUAGAGUUCAUCUUGGCAGAUAGUCUUCAGGUUGUGUGUUUUUGUAAGACGGGAAAAAAGCAAAUAGACACUGGGUGGCAGAUGAGCACUGUUGUUGAGGUCACUGAUUACGGAGCAUCUGUAUAUAUUCUAAAAAUGCAGGCAAUUUGUUAAAAUUGGUUAUUGUUCUGUUAUGGCAAAAUAAAAAUAUACUUUAUGUUCCCUGUGUAAUAAAUAUUGCUUGUACAUUUUG